rnacentral:rRNA from 1 species
UACGGAGGGUGCAAGCGUUAUCCGGAUUCACUGGGUUUAAAGGGUGCGUAGGUGGGCUGGUAAGUCAGUGGUGAAAUCUCCAGGCUUAACUUGGAAAACUGCCAUUGAUACUAUCAGUCUUGAAUACCGUGGAGGUCAGCGGAAUAUGUCAUGUAGCGGUGAAAUGCUUAGAUAUGACAUAGAACACCAAUUGCGAAGGCAGCUUACUAAGCAAAAUAUUGACGCUGAGGCACGAAAAGC